UCUUGCCGGCACCACGGGCAGCAACGACUCCGUCCCGGCCAGUAGCCCCCUCGACUCCUCCCUCCUGUUGCUGUCGCCGGUACAUGCAGUGGUGGGAUCCGUUCUCUCCGCCUCAUGGGGGGCGCCAUGGAUCUCGCAGCUGAAGACGCUCGGCGCGGUAGGGUUUGGGGCCAGCGGCGUGGGUGGAUCUGCGGCGGUGGCGGCAGCCGAUGCGGGGGGUCGACGAUCGCGUCGCGCCAGAUCUGCCUGCUCCGGUGUUGUCGGUGGUAGUGGAGGCUUCGUCGUGUGCCCAUUCUAGCCACAUCUGGCCGUGUGGACUCAUCUGCGGUGGCUUUGGCGAGCGGUGUGCGGCCGCCGGGAUGGAGGACGGCGGUGCGGCAGCGUUCGCGUUUGGUGGUUGUUUCAGGGCGGCCAUUACAUCAGGGGAAGUGGUGAGGGCUUCGGUGGUCGCCAGAGAGGAUGCGCUGACUUCAGGUUGGCCUGCCCUCGAUCUGUCCGUGUUCUGCCGCCGCAACUCCCGCGUCAUGGGUGUGCUGAGCCUGCAUCUUGCUCCGUCCUAGCGGCUGGGCGUCCUGGUCAGCCUUCCAUUUUCGCCUCCCUCUUUGUGGGUUGCAUAGGGCGAUUGGCGUGAUGUGCAGCCGUUCUAUUUAGGGAUUCGGUGUGUAUGAUGACAUUUUCUUGCUGUUCUCUAAGAUGAUUUAUAGUCCUUUACCCAUUGAUUUUCUGCUAGGUGGUCAUUCCCUUUUUCCAGCCAGUCACUGAUGCCAUCGGGUUGGGCAUUGCGUUUGUUCGUUUGAUCACACACUACCAGUCCCUGCCAUAGGAAGGCAGCAGCCACUGUGUGUCGUCCAGGAUGGAGAGGAUGACGGUGUCAGCAUGGAUGAAGAGGGUGAAGUAGCUGGUCAGGUUAAAGGGCACCGUCACUAACUAGUCCGCCAGCACGGACAGCAGGCCUUUGCCCUCGCCCACACAAAUGUUGUGUGCUCCUGGCAGUUGGGCGCCAUGUACAUGCUCCGACAGGAUGUGGCUGCACAUGGUCACUGUCGUCACAAGUAGGAAGCUAUCGCUGAAUCACGUUUUUAUUGGAAGGCAUAGGAAGCUUUCUACCAUUGGAAGAACAUAGUUGUUUUGCUCGUGUAUGUCGCAAAAAUAAACCUUCUAAUUUGUGUUUGAUCCUUUACGAAGGACACAAAUUUUCUCUAUGACUAACCUUUUGUUUCAUUUUUCUUUCAGCAGUACAUGAUUGAUCAUCUGCAGUAAGUAUCAUUCACUGGGUGUUUGUGUUGGAAAUUUAGGUGCUAGAUAAUGGCAGAAAUGACACACAUGAGCUUGUGGAGUGCAUGGGCCCAACCACUGAUAUUGGUUUAAAAUUAUUUAUGCUCAAGGACCAACUUGCUCAGCCAAUUGAACACAUGCAUAUACAGCGUCGGUGCAGCAGCAGCCUUGUGAUGCAGUUACAAUGGGCAAUAUGAGUUAAACUACUUGAGCUUCAUUACACACCUCGGUGCAAUAGGGAUUUAGAUUUCCUUUUUGAGUUAAUUGUGCUUAGAAUCAGUACUUAGUCACAUUAUCACCAUUUGUGCAGAAUAUGUCUUAAAGAAGAUGUUGCAGUUUUCAGAUUACUACACAAGAGAGAGGAUCAGGCAUAUUCAAUGGUUUCCAAAAUUGCAGCAGAUUAUAUGUGAGGGAUCUGUGUCAAUGAAAGAACAGGAGCUUAACUGGCCCAUGAACCAAAUGAAUGUGCAUUGAGCACAAGUCAGAACUAAUGGUCUGACAAACGGCGCAGCAAAGCACGCGUACAACUAUUGGAGACAUGUGUGCUCCUCCUACUAGAUUGAUACCUUCAUUCUCAGCUGAGGGAAAUACUUAUCUCUACUUUGUUGCAUCAUCCUUUCCUCUUCAAGAAAAAAACCAACGCAAGCUCAAGAAGUAGCAAGAAAAAUUUGUGGCGCCAUUACCGGGGAGGAUCUACAUCAAGCUUAUCAAUAAGACCUUUGGGAUUGUCGGGGAAAUAUACAGGGGCAUGCAUUUUCCCCUCGUGCAUGGACAAGCACCAGCUCAAGUCAAAGAGUGAAGAACCAAGAGACUUGAAGAACCAACAUGCAUCUCAGAGAGACCAAGAUCAAGCCAGAAGAAUGAGAUAUCUACAAGAGAAGGGCCUCCCUUGUCGGGCAGGCGAGCCCGACAAGGGGCGAGGCCACCACCAGAAGCAAGCAACCAAGACUCCCCGGCAAAGCCUGCCGGGGUUCAUGGGGUGCUAAACCACCCCGCCAACCACUCUAGCAUGACUCACGUCGUCAAUCAGUGUGGUGUCAAGCCACAAGGUGAUUAAGUGGCAGCCAUUUGCCACAUGGAGGUCAUUUCCUACAGAAGAAACCCGCAGAUGACACCCGUCCUGCGACGUGUCAAGAGAACAGGCACGGAGUUGGCGAGAUAGCCCGGCCAGCCUUGCCGGGCAACCAGUGAUGUGACACUAAGCAGUUUAUUUAGUGCACCCUAUCAGCUCGAAAAGUUAGGUAUGAUAGCACUAUUCGCUAUCAUAUCAGUGGAUAAUGACCACUUUUCCACUAUGGUGACCCCUUAAUUUAUAAAAGGAGGCCCAUGGCACCCGUAGAAAGGGUUGGGAAGUUGAUGAACCCAAGCCAUCAUACGCGCGUAGCCGCUACAGCCCCGAGGCAAACCCUGUCAGGCAAGUGUACUACUCAC